GCGCGCCGCUGGCGGUUGCCGACCCUACGACC
rnacentral:sRNA from 1 species